rnacentral:rRNA from 1 species
ACGAACGCUGGCGGCGUGGAUAAGACAUGCAAGUCGAACGGGAGAAUUGCUAGCUUGCUAAUAAUUCUCUAGUGGCGCACGGGUGAGUAACACGUGAGUAACCUGCCUCUUAGUGGGGGAUAGCCCUGGGAAACCGGGAUUAAUACCGCAUACGAUUGAAAGAUCAAAGCAGCAAUGCGCUAGGAGAUGGGCUCGCGGCCUAUUAGUUAGUUGGUGAGGUAACGGCUCACCAAGGCGAUGACGGGUAGCCGGUCUGAGAGGAUGUCCGGCCACACUGGAACUGAGACACGGUCCAGACACCUACGGGUGGCAGCAGUCGAGAAUCAUUCACAAUGGGGGCAACCCUGAUGGUGCGACGCCGCGUGGGGGAAUGAAGGUCUUCGGAUUGUAAACCCCUGUCAUGUGGGAGCAAAUUAAAAAGAUAGUACCACAAGAGGAAGAGACGGCUAACUCUGUGCCAGCAGCCGCGGUAAUACAGAGGUCUCAAGCGUUGUUCGGAAUCACUGGGCGUAAAGCGUGCGUAGGCUGUUUCGUAAGUCGUGUGUGAAAGGCAGGGGCUCAACCCCUGGAUUGCACAUGAUACUGCGAGACUAGAGUAAUGGAGGGGGAACCGGAAUUCUCGGUGUAGCAGUGAAAUGCGUAGAUAUCGAGAGGAACACUCGUGGCGAAGGCGGGUUCCUGGACAUUAACUGACGCUGAGGCACGAAGGCCAGGGGAGCGAAAGGGAUUAGAUACCCCUGUAGUCCUGGCAGUAAACGGUGCACGCUUGGUGUGCGGGGAAUCGACCCCCUGCGUGCCGGAGCUAACGCGUUAAGCGUGCCGCCUGGGGAGUACGGUCGCAAGAUUAAAACUCAAAGAAAUUGACGGGGACCCGCACAAGCGGUGGAGUAUGUGGCUUAAUUCGAUGCAACGCGAAGAACCUUACCUGGGCUUGACAUGUAAUGAACAACAUGUGAAAGCAUGCGACUCUUCGGAGGCGUUACACAGGUGCUGCAUGGCCGUCGUCAGCUCGUGUCGUGAGAUGUUUGGUUAAGUCCAGCAACGAGCGCAACCCCUGUUGCCAGUUACCAGCACGUCAAGGUGGGGACUCUGGCGAGACUGCCCAGAUCAACUGGGAGGAAGGUGGGGACGACGUCAGGUCAGUAUGGCCCUUAUGCCUAGGGCUGCACACGUACUACAAUGCCCAGUACAGAGGGGGCCGAAGCCGCGAGGCGGAGGAAAUCCUGAAAACUGGGCCCAGUUCGGACUGUAGGCUGCAACCCGCCUACACGAAGCCGGAAUCGCUAGUAAUGGCGCAUCAGCUACGGCGCCGUGAAUACGUUCCCGGGUCUUGUACACACCGCCCGUCACAUCAUGGAAGCCGGUCGCACCCGAAGUAUCUGAAGCCAACCGCAAGGAGGCAGGGUCCUAAGGUGAGACUGGUAACUGGGAUG